AACUAUAACGGUCCUAAGGUAGCGAAAUUCCUUGUCGGGUAAGUUCCGACCUGCACGAAUGGCGUAAUGAUGGCCAGGCUGUCUCCACCCGAGACUCAGUGAAAUUGAACUCGCUGUGAAGAUGCAGUGUACCCGCGGCAAGACGGAAAGACCCCGUGAACCUUUACUAUAGCUUGACACUGAACAUUGAGCCUUGAUGUGUAGGAUAGGUGGGAGGCUUUGAAGCGUGGACGCCAGUCUGCGUGGAGCCGACCUUGAAAUACCACCCUUUAAUGUUUGAUGUUCUAACGUGGAYCCGUAAUCCGGGUUGCGGACAGUGUCUGGUGGGUAGUUUGACUGGGGCGGUCUCCUCCUAAAGAGUAACGGAGGAGCACGAAGGUUGGCUAAUCCUGGUCGGACAUCAGGAGGUUAGUGCAAUGGCAUAAGCCAGCUUGACUGCGAGCGUGACGGCGCGAGCAGGUGCGAAAGCAGGUCAUAGUGAUCCGGUGGUUCUGAAUGGAAGGGCCAUCGCUCAACGGAUAAAAGGUACUCCGGGGAUAACAGGCUGAUACCGCCCAAGAGUUCAUAUCGACGGCGGUGUUUGGCACCUCGAUGUCGGCUCAUCACAUCCUGGGGCUGAAGUAGGUCCCAAGGGUAUGGCUGUUCGCCAUUUAAAGUGGUACGCGAGCUGGGUUUAGAACGUCGUGAGACAGUUCGGUCCCUAUCUGCCGUGGGCGCUGGAGAACUGAGGGGGGCUGCUCCUAGUACGAGAGGACCGGAGUGGACGCAUCACUGGUGUUCGGGUUGUCAUGCCAAUGGCACUGCCCGGUAGCUAAAUGCGGAAGAGAUAAGUGCUGAAAGCAUCUAAGCACGAAACUUGCCCCGAGAUGAGUUCUCCCUGAGACUUAGAGUCUCCUGAAGGAACGUUGAAGACGACGACGUUGAUAGGCCGGGUGUGUAAGCGCAGCGAUGCGUUGAGCUAACCGGUACUAAUGAACCGUGAGGCUUAACCUUACAACGCCGAAG
rnacentral:rRNA from 1 species